rnacentral:misc_RNA from 1 species
AGCGUGAAGGUCAAGCGCCUGUUCUUCUUCUUCGCCGCGCGUCAUCACCACGCUUGGACCAAGCGGCUUGACCGGAAUCAGGUGAACCUCGGCACCGGCAAGCGCAUGCUGGUCAAAGGUGGAAGGCUAGACCCAGCAACGCAGAUCACCGUGCCGGAGGAUUUGGAUGGCGUUCAGUGACAUUUACCGCAAGCAGGUCAGCUUGCUUGUGCGCACGCUGCCUCAUGUCGCGGAAGAACCGUGCUUUGCCCUGAAAGGUGGCACGGCGAUCAAUCUGUUCAUCCGCGACAUGCCGCGCUUGUCGGUCGAUAUUGAUUUGACCUAUCUGCCGGUCGAGCCGCGCG